rnacentral:rRNA from 1 species
ACGCACGUUGGCGGCGUGCUUAAUACAUGCAAGUCCCCUGAAGCAGUGGUAGCAAUCUCGCUGUGGAGGUGGCGCACGGGUGAGUAACACGUAGGUAAUCUGCCUUCAGGUCUGGCAUAACUCCGGGAAACCGGGGCUAAUAGCAGAUGAUGCAGCGGCUCGACAUCGAGACAGUUGUUAAAGCUAUGGCGCCUGAAGAUGAGCCUGCGUCUGAUUAGCUAGUUGGCGGGGUAACGGCCCACCAAGGCAACGAUCAGUAGCUGGUCUGAGAGGAUGAUCAGCCACACUGGAACUGAGACACGGUCCAGACUCCUACGGGAGGCAGCAGUAAGGAAUAUUGCUCAAUGGGAGAAAUCCUGAAGCAGCAACGCCGCGUGAGGGACGAAGGGCUUUGGCUUGUAAACCUCUGUAGUGAGAGAAAAAAAUCCCAAUCUUUGGGACAUGAUGGUAGCUCAAAAGUAAGCCCCGGCUAACUACGUG